rnacentral:lncRNA from 1 species
CUUAACUCCCACCGCAUUGCCCCUCGCCUCCCUCCUUUCUGUCGCCACCACUACUUCACCUUCGCCGUGCUAUUCCACUACCAUGAGGAUUUAAUUUUGGAUUUUUCUUGCUUUCAGACUUUCAGUGUUAAUAAAUCUAUAUUUUUGUGGGUUAAUUGUUAAAUUACUUGACCUUAUAGAUGAUGGAUUAAAUAUCUACAUAUCAAACAGCUGUUGGCUCGAACUCAAUGCCAUC